GUCACAGUGCUCCUCCUCCUGCUGUCCGUGUGUAUGUGUGUCUGUGUGUGCGUGUGAGCCUGCCUGUGUGUGUGUGCGUGUGUGUGUGCGUGUGUCUUUUGAAGGCACCUCUCAGGCCGCUGCUGUCUCCUCUGCCUGAAAGGAAGGAGAACAAUUCGUGACAAACAAAUAAAGGAAGGAAGGAAGGAAAGAAGGAAGGAAGGAAGAAAGAAAGGACAGUGUUGAGUCUCGCAGGUCACGCCAGCGUCUUGUAAACUGUAAAUUUGCUUGCUUCACCUGGCAAUUGUGAACCACCAAGCAAAAACCAAGCCAUCCUAUUGGUCAACAGGUGAUCACCAUCAGCCCUCCCAUUGGCCCAGAGCUUUGUGGAUUGUGAUUGGACGGCUGGCUGGCUGACCUGACCUGACCUCAACCGAGCCAACAUGAUUUACAUUUUCCUUGUUGACACUGGCACCAUGAUGACCUUUGACAUGAACCUGGCACUAGAGAGUGUUGAGGUGUUGAAGGGUGCAAUACACAAUGCUGUCAAGGUGCCCACAGACAAACAGGUGCUGCUGCUGGUGGUGGUGGUGGUGGUGGUGAAGGGGUGAGAAUGGUGGUUGACUUGCAGUGGUGAGGCAGGCAGAUGCAGCAAGCCAGCAGGCCUACAUGUGGCAGGCUCAGCACAAGACACAUCUGCCUGUGUCUGCCUGCUAGCCUCAUCUGUGUGGUUGGCAGCCUUCCUCCACAGCUCCCUGGCACAGGUGGAGGGGUGUCUCAACAUGCCAGCCACUUACAACGCUGUGGUGGCGCGGACACAGUUAGCACAGCAGUUUUACGAGCACGCUAGUGAGGUCACCAGAACGUGUCGCCAACUUGUUCACGACCAGCAUCUGCAGCAACAAGGCUGGGCAGCAGUGGUGGCCAACUUGGAGGACAUUGUGGCAGCCUUCAGAACAAGACAUGACGCAUUCCAGCAAAAUUUUGUGGAGUAUCUCAGUGGCCCGGAGGAGAAGGUCGCCCUGCUUCAGUCUUUUGAAGAGGACCUUAAGCUACUGGCAAGGAUUCCAGUCUUCCCUGAACUCUUGGGGAAGACACAAGAGGAAGAGGAAGAGGAAGAAGCUGGGAAGAAGAGGAGGACAAGCACAGCACAGAAGAAAGAGGAGGAGGAAGAGAAGGAAGAGGAGGAGAAGGAGGAGGAGGAAGAGGAGGAAGAGCAGGAGGAGGAGAAAAGAGGAGGAGAAGGAGGAAAAAGAGAAAUGAGGCAAGUGUUGCUGCUGGACUGGAUCAGCGCCAAGGACAGCCAAAGUGACGUCAGAUUGCCCAACUCUGCUGCAGGGGACUGGCUCAGUUUUGAAGAAGAGGAGGAGGAAGAGGAAGAGGAAGGAGGAGGAGGAGGAGGAGGAGGAGGGUUAGGUGUGGCCCUCCCUCCCCCUCCCACACCACUGCAGUCCCAGCCUCUGAUUGGCCAGCCCUCAGCCAAUCAGGAGAGAGACUUUAUGGCCUUACAGGUGGAGGAAGGCCGAAGGGAACUGGAGGAGGAGAGAAAGAGGCACAGGCUGGAGGUUGAAAACAAAAGGUCUAGAUUUAGAAUGAUGACAACGACCACAGCCACCACCAGCACCUCCCCCACUAGCCUGCCUUUCUCUUCAAGUCCCAGCGAGGAGCACCCGCCCUCCUCCCCAGCCUCCUCUCUCAACAGAUGGGAGGGCCUGGACAGACUGAGAGAGGAACUGAUGAAAGAGAGAGAGAUAGAGAUUGAAGAGAGAAUUGCAAGUGUAAGAGAGGAAGAAAGGAGGAAAUUAGAUGACGAAAAACAGUAUUACGAAUUGUUCAGGUGGUCGAAUGUUCCAGCUAUCGGUUUACUCCAGCCACCGUCACUGAGCAGAUAUGAAAACAAGAGCCGCUGAGAGGUUUGAACUAUUCGUCUGCUGCUUUUAGUGUUUGCGGUGCUGCUCCAAGUUGUUCUCUUCGCUUAUUCCAAGGCCAUCAGUCAUGGCAAGAACCAGUAAAAUCAUACAACUUCAGGCAUUUAAGUACUUCAACAACUCGAUUACUCUUUUUACUGGCAGUGGUAGUGUUCCAGAGAGAGAGAGAGAGAGAGAGAGAGAGAGAGAGAGAGAGAGAAUUAUUAUU